ACGUACACUCCUACGGGAGGCAGCAGUGGGGAAUAUUGCACAAUGGGCGCAAGCCUGAUGCAGCCAUGCCGCGUGUGUGAAGAAGGCCUUCGGGUUGUAAAGCACUUUCAGCGGGGAGGAAGGCGAUACGGUUAAUAACCGUGUUGAUUGACGUUACCCGCAGAAGAAGCACCGGCUAACUCCGUGCCAGCAGCCGCGGUAAUACGGAGGGUGCAAGCGUUAAUCGGAAUUACUGGGCGUAAAGCGCACGCAGGCGGUCUGUCAAGUCGGAUGUGAAAUCCCCGGGCUCAACCUGGGAACUGCAUUCGAAACUGGCAGGCUUGAGUCUUGUAGAGGGGGGUAGAAUUCCAGGUGUAGCGGUGAAAUGCGUAGAGAGCUGGAGGAAUACCGGUGGCGAAGGCGGCCCCCUGGACAAAGACUGACGCUCAGGUGCGAAAGCGUGGGGAGCAAACAGGAUGAGAUACCCCUGUAGUCCCAUGA
rnacentral:rRNA from 1 species